AACGCUAGCUACAGGCUUAACACAUGCAAGUCGAGGGGAAACGACAUCGAAAGCUUGCUUUUGAUGGGCGUCGACCGGCGCACGGGUGAGUAACGCGUAUCCAACCUGCCCAACACUUGGGGAUAACCUUGCGAAAGUAAGACUAAUACCCAAUGACGUCUCUAGAAGACAUCUGAAAGAGAUUAAAGAUUUAUCGGUGAUGGAUGGGGAUGCGUCUGAUUAGCUUGUUGGCGGGGUAACGGCCCACCAAGGCGACGAUCAGUAGGGGUUCUGAGAGGAAGGUCCCCCACAUUGGAACUGAGACACGGUCCAAACUCCUACGGGAGGCAGCAGUGAGGAAUAUUGGUCAAUGGGCGAGAGCCUGAACCAGCCAAGUAGCGUGCAGGAUGACGGCCCUAUGGGUUGUAAACUGCUUUUAUAAGGGAAUAAAGUGAGUCUCGUGAGACUUUUUGCAUGUACCUUAUGAAUAAGGACCGGCUAAUUCCGUGCCAGCAGCCGCGGUAAUACGGAAGGUCCGGGCGUUAUCCGGAUUUAUUGGGUUUAAAGGGAGCGUAGGCCGGAGAUUAAGCGUGUUGUGAAAUGUAGAUGCUCAACAUCUGCACUGCAGCGCGAACUGGUUUCCUUGAGUACGCACAAAGUGGGCGGAAUUCGUGGUGUAGCGGUGAAAUGCUUAGAUAUCACGAAGAACUCCGAUUG
rnacentral:rRNA from 1 species